rnacentral:rRNA from 1 species
AGUGAACGCUGGCGGUGGGCCUAACACAUGCAAGUCGAACGGCAGCACAGUAAGAGCUUGCUCUUACGGGUGGCGAGUGGCGGACGGGUGAGGAAUACAUCGGAAUCUACUUUUUCGUGGGGGAUACCGUAGGGAAACUUACGCUAAUACCGCAUACGACCUACGGGUGAAAGCAGGGGAUCUUCGGACCUUGCGCGAUUGAAUGAGCCGAUGUCGGAUUAGCUAGUUGGCGGGGUAAAGGCCCACCAAGGCGACGAUCCGUAGCUGGUCUGAGAGGAUGAUCAGCCACACUUGAACUGAGACACGGUCCAGACUCCUACGGGAGGCAGCAGUGGGGAAUAUUGGACAAUGGGCGCAAGCCUUAUCCAGCCAUACCGCGUGGGUGAAGAAGGCCUUCGGGUUGUAAAGCCCUUUUGUUGGGAAAGAAAAGCAGCAGGUUAAUACCCCGCUGUUCUGACGGUACCCAAAGAAUAAGCACCGGCUAACUUCGUG